UCCAGACUCCUACGGGAGGCAGCAGUGGGGGAUAUUGCACAAUGGGGGAAACCCUGAUGCAGCGACGCCGCGUGAGUGAAGAAGUAUUUCGGUAUGUAAAGCUCUAUCAGUAGGGAAGAAAAAAGACGGUACCUGACUAAGAAGCCCCGGCUAACUACGUGCCAGCAGCCGCGGUAAUACGUAGGGGGCAAGCGUUAUCCGGAUUUACUGGGUGUAAAGGGAGCGUAGACGGCAAUACAAGUCGGAAGUGAAAUACCCGGGCUCAACCUGGGAAUUGCUUUGGAAACUGUAUGGCUGGAGUGCUGGAGAGGUAAGCGGAAUUCCUAGUGUAGCGGUGAAAUGCGUAGAUAUUAGGAGGAACACCAGUGGCGAAGGCGGCUUACUGGACAGUAACUGACGUUGAGGCUCGAAAGCGUGGGGAGCAAACAGGAUUAGAUACCCGCGUA
rnacentral:rRNA from 1 species